AAAACAUAAAAUAAACCACAUUUACUCAAACACCUUAAACCUCAGAGCUGUCUUCAUUUGCUGUUUUCACAGUGUAGAUAACAUUCAGUACAGCGAGCUCACUGAAAUUCUGCUGUAUUUCACUGUGAUGUCACUCAGAAUGGCUCCUCCUCUUCCUCUGGUCUUUCUGCUCAUGAUUGGUGGAGCUUUUGGAGCAGAGUGGAGUGUGAAGUACAACCAACAGGAAAUAUGUGCUUUAAAAGGGAUCCACAGUGUUUAUGAAUGGAACUUAUACUCACCCAGAACGUCUUACAGUGACAUGAGACUUUUUGGUACAUAGACCCAGUUCAUGGUGUGGAGCUGACUGAUCUGAGUAAAAGACGCAGAUUAUUCAGGCAGAGUUGAGUAUUUAACUGAUGAACAGAAACACUUCUCCCUCAAACUGAGUGAUGUAAUGAAGAUGGACGAACAUGAGUAUGUUUUCAGAAUCAUAACAAAUGAAGGAAAAGUAAAAUGGGCAGGUACACCUGGAGUUCAGCUCAGAGUUACAGAGCUCCAUGUAGAAACUCCUGAAGAAGUGACAGAGGGAGGAACAGCAAAUUUGACAUGUAAAACCACCUGCAGUCUGACUGACCCAACAUUCAUCUGGUACAAAAAUGGACAUGCUUUAACCACAAAGACCAUCAAGAACAACCAGCUCCACC